rnacentral:rRNA from 1 species
AACCGCGGUUAUACGAGAGACCCAAGUUGAUAGCUACCGGCGUAAAGGGUGGUUAGGGAAAAUUAAAAACUAAAGCCGAACGUCCUCAAAGCUGUUAUACGCACUACCCCUGAGGAUAGGAAGUUCAACCACGAAAGUGGCUUUAAAAUUACCUGAACCCACGGAAGCUAGGACC